rnacentral:rRNA from 1 species
GACGAACGCUGGCGGCGCGCUUAACACAUGCAAGUCGAACGGAAAGGCCUGCUUUCCCUUGUGGAUUGCGGGUACUCGAGUGGCGAACGGGUGAGUAACACGUGAGUGAUCUGCCGCCAACUUGGGUAUAAGCCUGGGAAACUGGGUCUAAUUCCCGAUAGGACUGCAGGGUGGUGCCUGUGGUGGAAAACGAUUUUCUAGUGGUUGGGGAUGAGCUCGCGGCCUAUCAGCUUGUUGGUGGGGUAAUGGCCUACCAAGGCGGCGACGGGUAGCCGGCCUGAGAGGGUGGACGGCCACAUUGGGACUGAGAUACGGCCCAGACUCCUACGGGAGGCAGCAGUGGGGAAUAUUGCACAAUGGGCGGAAGCCUGAUGCAGCGACGCCGCGUGGGGGAUGACGGCCUUCGGGUUGUAAACUCCUUUCGACCGCGAGGAAGCCACCUGGUUGGAAGGGUGGUGACGGUAGUGGUAGAAGAAGCACCGGCUAACUACGUG